CACGGGGGGAGCAAGCGUUGUUCGGAAUCACUGGGCGUAAAGGGCGUGUAGGCGGUCAGAUAAGUGAGAUGUGAAAUGCCUCGGCUCACCCGAGGACCUGCAUCUCAUACUGUCUGGCUUGAGUACGGGAGAGGAUGAGGGAAUUCCUGGUGUAGCGGUGAAAUGCGUAGAUAUCAGGAGGAACACCGGUGGCGAAGGCGGGUCUCUGGGCCGAUACUGACGCUGAGGAGCGAAAGCGUGGGGAGCGAACAGG
rnacentral:rRNA from 1 species